ACUUAUGUCAUCAGCCAGUUUGUUCUUUUCAAUAAGCCGAAUUCAUGAUUCUGGUGGCUCUAACUUGUGCUCAGGUAUAACUAUGAACAUGGCCCAGCACAAAAUCAUAAGGCAGGAGGAGAGCUCACUUUGUUCCACCCUACACUUCCCAUGGGCUAUAAAGCAACUAUGCCAACCAGCCAAGGAGUCUCACUCAUAACUCAGCCUGGCCUGAAAUUCACAGCAAUCAAUCUUCCUGCCUCAGCUACCCAAGUGAGAUUAUAGAGAGACUGGAACAGAAGAGACUCAGCCUCUGGGAUGUGAGCGAGUUCUGCCAGCCCUCACGUUUCUCAUUCUGGUUUCCUGGACUCAGAUGUUCACAUGAGCAGAUAUAAACUUCCACCCAAAUCAGCUGCCAUCUUACUGUUUCUUUGGGGUGCAUUGUGAGCAGGAAAUUCAAGUUCUUAUUUGUAGGUUCUUAGCAUCACUGAUAAAAGAAUUUCAAUUAAU